rnacentral:tRNA from 1 species
AGCCCGACGUGGGGGUCGAACCCACAACCUUGAGAUUAAGAGUCUCACGCUCUACCGAUUGAGCUAGCCGGGC